rnacentral:rRNA from 1 species
GACGAACGCUGGCGGCGUGCUUAACACAUGCAAGUCGAACGGAAAGGCCCUGCUUUUGUGGGGUGCUCGAGUGGCGAACGGGUGAGUAACACGUGAGUAACCUGCCCUUGACUUUGGGAUAACUUCAGGAAACUGGGGCUAAUACCGGAUAGGAGCUCCUGCUGCAUGGUGGGGGUUGGAAAGUUUCGGCGGUUGGGGAUGGACUCGCGGCUUAUCAGCUUGUUGGUGGGGUAGUGGCUUACCAAGGCUUUGACGGGUAGCCGGCCUGAGAGGGUGACCGGCCACAUUGGGACUGAGAUACGGCCCAGACUCCUACGGGAGGCAGCAGUGGGGAAUAUUGCACAAUGGGCGGAAGCCUGAUGCAGCAACGCCGCGUGCGGGAUGACGGCCUUCGGGUUGUAAACCGCUUUCGCCUGUGACGAAGCGUGAGUGACGGUAAUGGGUAAAGAAGCACCGGCUAACUACGUGCCAGCAGCCGCGGUGAUACGUAGGGUGCGAGCGUUGUCCGGAUUUAUUGGGCGUAAAGGGCUCGUAGGUGGUUGAUCGCGUCGGAAGUGUAAUCUUGGGGCUUAACCCUGAGCGUGCUUUCGAUACGGGUUGACUUGAGGAAGGUAGGGGAGAAUGGAAUUCCUGGUGGAGCGGUGGAAUGCGCAGAUAUCAGGAGGAACACCAGUGGCGAAGGCGGUUCUCUGGGCCUUUCCUGACGCUGAGGAGCGAAAGCGUGGGGAGCGAACAGGCUUAGAUACCCUGGUAGUCCACGCUGUAAACGGUGGGUACUAGGUGUGGGGUCCAUUCCACGGGUUCCGUGCCGUAGCUAACGCUAUAAGUACCCCGCCUGGGGAGUACGGCCGCAAGGCUAAAACUCAAAGGAAUUGACGGGGCCCCGCACAAGCGGCGGAGCAUGCGGAUUAAUUCGAUGCAACGCGUAGAACCUUACCUGGGUUUGACAUGGAUCGGGAGUGCUCAGAGAUGGGUGUGCCUCUUUUGGGGUCGGUUCACAGGUGGUGCAUGCCUGUCGUCAGCUCGUGUCGUGAGAUGUUGGGUUAAGUCCCGCAACGAGCGCAACCCUUGUUCACUGUUGCCAGCACGUUAUGGUGGGGACUCAGUGGAGACCGCCGGGGUCAACUCGGAGGAAGGUGGGGAUGACGUCAAGUCAUCAUGCCCCUUAUGUCCAGGGCUUCACGCAUGCUACAAUGGCUGGUACAGAGAGUGGCGAGCCUGUGAGGGUGAGCGAAUCUCGGAAAGCCGGUCUCAGUUCGGAUUGGGGUCUGCAACUCGACCUCAUGAAGUCGGAGUCGCUAGUAAUCGCAGAUCAGCAACGCUGCGGUGAAUACGUUCCCGGGGCU